rnacentral:rRNA from 1 species
UACGUAGGCAGCAAGCGUUGUUCGGAAUUACUGGGCGUAAAGAGUGUGUAGGCGGUGUUCUAAGUUUGUCGUGAAAUCUCCCGGCUUAACUGGGAGGGUGCGGCGAAAACUGGAAUGCUAGAGGAUGGGAGAGGUAAGCGGAAUUCCUGGUGUAGCGGUGAAAUGCGUAGAUAUUCGGAGGAACACCAGUGGCGAAGGCGGCUCACUGGUCCGGUACUGACGCUGAGGUGCGAAAGCGUGGGGAGCAAACAGGG